UAUUCUAUUAGUAUAAAAUAAUUACAGUUAGCUUCCACCUAAAAAAUCAUUAAGAUAGAAU
rnacentral:tRNA from 1 species